rnacentral:lncRNA from 1 species
CCGAUAGUGCCUGCUACCUCUUUUUUUUUAAAAAAAAAAACCAAAAACCUUUCUAAAAUUCUAAAUUCUAAAAGAAAUUGCAAUAAUUAAAAAAAAACAAAAACACAAAAACCAACCAAAAACCAAACAAACCAAAAUACAAAAAAAUAAACCCCAAAACCAAAAAAACCAAAGCACUUACCAUUCUGACCUCAUAGUGCUUUGUCAUGGGCUUAAAAAAAAAACCAAACCCACAGACACAUAAAGACACAGACAGACACACAGACACCGACACGCACAAACAAACACGCGCGCGUAUUUAUGCGUUUUCAAAACAUUUGUGCCAGGGUCACGAAGGGGAUGUGGGGAGCUGCCGGCGCAGCGCAGAGCAGAGCGGUCGCUGCACAAAAGGAGGGCGAGCCCCGCAGCCCGGACCCACCAAGCGCGCCCCGCACCACCGCCCCUCCAGACCACGCAGGAACAGCAAGAGGCAGAGAGGCAGUAGUGUGCAGCGAGGAGCAGCAUUCCCAAGGCCAAACCACAAGCCUUUCAGCACCUCAGCUCUCUUAUCCUAAAUGCCUGCUCUGAAAAGCCCCAGGAAGGAAGGGGAAGACAGACAGGGGUGCAGACUGGUCUCCACAUAACUGGCAUAGGCUAAUACCCCUGGUCCAUGCACAGCUCAUCUUAGGCCCUCCUGCUGCUGUCUUUUUUCCUGAUGCCUUGUUCAGUAAUUUUAAACUGUCUCACUUCUACCAGCUAUCUUUGUUCCAGAGACAGCUAUGACUCCAACAAGAUCAGAGGACGUUUUCCUGCAGCUCAUCUAUCUACCUGCUUGUAGUUCAUCUCUUUUCUCAGAAACAAUGUCAUUAAAACCUCCUGAGGAUCCAGCCCACAAACAUAUUAUUUCAAAUAACUUCACUGGCAAGAUUGAAAAAGUAAGCGCAAGACCACCCACAGUAAUGUCUUUAAACUUUCCAUAUGCACUAAACACCCU